GAGUUUGAUCCUGGCUCAGGAUGAACGCUAGCUACUGGCUUAACACAUGCAAGUCGAGGGGCAGCGGGAUUGAAGCUUGCUUCAAUUGCCGGCGACCGGCGCACGGGUGAGUAACGCGUAUCCAACCUUCCGUACACUCAGGGAUAGCCUUUCGAAAGAAAGAUUAAUACCUGAUGGUAUGAUGAGAUUGCAUGAUAGCAUCAUUAAAGAUUUAUCGGUGUACGAUGGGGAUGCGUUCCAUUAGGUAGUAGGCGGGGUAACGGCCCACCUAGCCAACGAUGGAUAGGGGUUCUGAGAGGAAGGUCCCCCACAUUGGAACUGAGACACGGUCCAAACUCCUACGGGAGGCAGCAGUGAGGAAUAUUGGUCAAUGGACGAGAGUCUGAACCAGCCAAGUAGCGUGAAGGAUGAAGGUCCUACGGAUUGUAAACUUCUUUUAUAAGGGAAUAAACCCUCCCACGUGUGGGAGCUUGUAUGUACCUUAUGAAUAAGCAUCGGCUAACUCCGUGCCAGCAGCCGCGGUAAUACGGAGGAUGCGAGCGUUAUCCGGAUUUAUUGGGUUUAAAGGGAGCGCAGACGGGUCGUUAAGUCAGCUGUGAAAGUUUGGGGCUCAACCUUAAAAUUGCAGUUGAUACUGGCGUCCUUGAGUGCGGUUGAGGUGUGCGGAAUUCGUGGUGUAGCGGUGAAAUGCUUAGAUAUCACGAAGAACUCCGAUUGCGAAGGCAGCACACUAAUCCGUAACUGACGUUCAUGCUCGAAAGUGUGGGUAUCAAACAGGAUUAGAUACCCUGGUAGUCCACACGGUAAACGAUGGAUACUCGCUGUUGGCGAUAUACUGUCAGCGGCUUAGCGAAAGCGUUAAGUAUCCCACCUGGGGAGUACGCCGGCAACGGUGAAACUCAA
rnacentral:rRNA from 1 species